rnacentral:rRNA from 1 species
GUAUGGUGCAAGCGUUAUCCGGAUUUACUGGGUGUAAAGGGAGCGUAGACGGAUUUGCAAGUCUGAAGUGAAAGCCCGGGGCUCAACCCCGGGACUGCUUUGGAAACUGUAGGUCUUGAGUGCUGGAGAGGUAAGUGGAAUUCCUAGUGUAGCGGUGAAAUGCGUAGAUAUUAGGAGGAACACCAGUGGCGAAGGCGGCUUACUGGACAGUAACUGACGUUGAGGCUCGAAAGCGUGGGGAGCAAACAGGAUUAGAUACCCUGGUAGUCCACGCCGUAAACGAUGACUGCUAGGUGUCGGGUGGCAAAGCCAUUCGGUGCCGCAGCUAACGCAAUAAGCAGUCCACCUGGGGGAGUACGUUCGCAAGAAUG